AUUGAACGCUGGCGGAAUGCUUUACACAUGCAAGUCGAACGGUAGAGGGGGCAACCCCUUGAGAGUGGCGAACGGGUGAGUAAUAUAUCGGAACGUGCCCAGUCGUGGGGGAUAACGUAGUGAAAAUUACGCUAAUACCGCAUACGAUCUAAGGAUGAAAGCGGGGGAUCGCAAGACCUCGCGCGACUGGAGCGGCCGAUAUCAGAUUAGGUAGUUGGUAGGGUAAAGGCCUACCAAGCCAACGAUCUGUAGCUGGUCUGAGAGGACGACCAGCCACACUGGAACUGAGACACGGUCCAGACUCCUACGGGAGGCAGCAGUGGGGAAUUUUGGACAAUGGGCGAAAGCCUGAUCCAGCCAUUCCGCGUGCAGGAUGAAGGCCCUCGGGUUGUAAACUGCUUUUGUACAGAACGAAAAGGUUUCUAUUAAUACUAGGAGCUCAUGACGGUACUGUAAGAAUAAGCACCGGCUAACUACGUGCCAGCAGCCGCGGUAAUACGUAGGGUGCAAGCGUUAAUCGGAAUUACUGGGCGUAAAGCGUGCGCAGGCGGUUAUAUAAGUCAGAUGUGAAAUCCCCGGGCUCAACCUGGGAACUGCAUUUGAGACUGUAUAGCUAGAGUACGGUAGAGGGGGAUGGAAUUCCGCGUGUAGCAGUGAAAUGCGUAGAUAUGCGGAGGAACACCGAUGGCGAAGGCA
rnacentral:rRNA from 1 species